GCAAAGGCUUUAGGCUAGUUAAUAAACGCUCGGAGAAGUUACAGUCCUCACCUUCCCGCCAUUCGAGCUCAAAUGCUCAAACCGAAACCUUAUGCAUCUCCAGCCUAUCUCCUCUCUCUUCUCAAACAAUCCAAAACCCUAGAAUCUAUCAAGCAAAUCCACACUCAGAUGCUGGUCUCCUCUCUCCAUUGUCAUAACCACCUCCUCUGCAAGCUCGUCGACCUCCAAACAUUCUCCUACUCCUCCAUCCUCUUCUCCCAAAUCCCCUCUCCAAAUGACUUCUCCUUCAACAUUAUGAUCCGCGGCCUCUCAACUUCCUGGAAAAACUACUCCUUGGCCCUCGAAUUCUACCUCCAGUUACUUCACUCUGGCCAAAAGCCGAGCAAGUUCACCUACCCUUUCGUCUUCAUUGCCGCCGCAAACCUACCGUCCCCUUACCAUGGUGUUUCUGCCCACAGCUCCGCUCUCCAGCGCGGUCUUGACUCAGAUCUCAACACCCAACAUUCUUUGAUCACCAUGUAUGCUAGAUGCGGGGAUUUGAAAAGUGCAUGGAAAGUGUUCGAUGAAAUUUCUGAGAGGGAUGUGGUCUCAUGGAAUGCCAUGAUUUCAGGGUGUAUGAAGAUGGGCUUUGCUAUGCAGGCUUUGGAGUUGUUUAGGAGGAUGAGAAGGGAAGGGUUUGAGAUGAAUGGGAUGACAGCGGCGAGCGUGCUGGCGGCGUGCGGCGAGGUGGGGGAUUUGUGCUUGGGGUUGGAGGUGGCGGAAUUAGUGGAAGAGAGUGGAGUGGAGAUGAAUUCAUUUAUUUGGUCUGCAUUGAUUGAUAUGUAUGGGAAGUGUGGCAAUCUUGAUGAAGCUAAACAGGUUUUUGAUAAGAUACUGAAGCCAGAUUUAGCUGUGUGGAAUGCAAUGAUUACAGGGUACUCGCAAAACGGCUUAUCCAAUGAAGCCAUCAAGCUAUUCAACACCAUGAGAGAAGCAAAUGUGGAACCAGACAAGAUGACAUUAGUUGGAGUACUGUCAGCUUGUGGUGCCACUGGUGCACUAGAAUUAGGAAGAUGGGUGGAUGAUUUUGCACAGAGAAGAGGCCUUCACUACAAUGUUUAUGUUGGGACAGCUCUCAUCGACAUGCAUGCGAAAUGUGGGAAUGUUGACCGUGCAGUCAGCAUCUUUACUUCCAUGCCGAGCAGAAAUAUCGUUUCUUGGAAUGCCAUGAUCUCUGGGCUCGCCUUACAUGGGAGAGGUAGAGAGGCCAUUUCGCUCUUCGCCAGAAUGAGGAAUGAGGAGCCAAAUCUUCAGCCAAAUGAUGUAACUUUUAUUGGUGUACUCACUGCCUGUGUACAUGCCGGAAUGGUUCGAGAAGGUCGUGAAUGGUUCGGUUUGAUGAAGUCGAAAUUUGGAGUAGUUCCGAAGAUUGAGCACUACUCUUGCAUGGUGGAUCUUCUAGCUCGUGCUGGAAACUUAGAAGAAGCAUGGGAUGUAAUGGAACAAAUGCCAGAGAUGCCUGAUGCUGUAAUGUUGGGGGCUUUGCUGUGUGCUUGCCGUAGUUUUAGAAAUGUUGAGAUUGGAAAGAGAGUUAUGGGAAGGAUACUCAAAUUAGAACCUUCAAACUCGGGAAAUUAUGUUAUCUCUUCGAAGAUUUUUGCAGGUUCAAAGAGAUGGGAGGAUUCUGCAAGGAUGAGAGGGUUAAUGAGAGAGAGGGGUGUUUCUAAAACACCAGGCUGUAGCUGGAUUGAGGUUGAUGGUGAAGUCCAUGAGUUCCAUGCUGCUGAAGGUUUGAAGGCAGUGUCAGUAGAGAUUCAUCAUAUCAUUGAUAUUUUGAUAGAUGAGAUGAUGAUUCAUGGAUACGCGCCAAACAUUGAUCUUGCAUGAUGAGCUUUUAAGGUUGUUUUGAAGUUACACAGUUUGCAAGGUUUGAUAACUUCGGAUCAGAGAUAAGAACUCGGAUACAAAACAGCCUUGAUGCUGGGAAAUUUAUAAAAGAUUCAAUCAGCAACAGCCAUCACAGAACUGGCUGCUUAUUUUCCGGUUUAAGGAGGUGCUUCACAAGUGGAGUUUUAAACUCCCUUCCUUUAACAGCUUGAAGAAUGCUAUAAAUCACAUCAGCAAGGCGUUAUGUUACUCUAUCCAUCAUUAUUGGCAUGCACGCAGCGCCAUGUUUCUUGGUAAAAGCUACGGGACUGUAACUAUCAUCGCUGCAAUUAUUUUUGAAGUGCUCAUCAUGACUUCAUUUUACGCUUUCCGGGUGCAAUGGGAUACGAGGAUGCUGUGUGAUAUUCAGAAGUUCUACAAUGUGGUGAUUGAGGAGCUUCCGUCGAAUGUGGCUAGGGGUGUAAACGAGCCCAACACGUGCGAGCCUUAGCUCGUGUUUGGCUCGUUUAUAUU